GUCGACAUAGUUGAAAGGUACAAUACUUGGUUUGGGUCCAAGAGGUUCUGGGUUCGAGUCCCAGUGUCGAUC
rnacentral:tRNA from 1 species